UUAGCUAAUCCUGGUCGGACAUCAGGAGGUUAGUGCAAUGGCAUAAGCUAGCUUGACUGCGAGCGUGACGGCGCGAGCAGGUGCGAAAGCAGGUCAUAGUGAUCCGGUGGUUCUGAAUGGAAGGGCCAUCGCUCAACGGAUAAAAGGUACUCCGGGGAUAACAGGCUGAUACCGCCCAAGAGUUCAUAUCGACGGCGGUGUUUGGCACCUCGAUGUCGGCUCAUCACAUCCUGGGGCUGAAGUAGGUCCCAAGGGUAUGGCUGUUCGCCAUUUAAAGUGGUACGCGAGCUGGGUUUAGAACGUCGUGAGACAGUUCGGUCCCUAUCUGCCGUGGGCGCUGGAGAAUUGAGGGGGGCUGCUCCUAGUACGAGAGGACCGGAGUGGACGCAUCACUGGUGUUCGGGUUGUCAUGCCAAUGG
rnacentral:rRNA from 1 species